AGCAGCCGCGGUAAUUCCAGCUCCAAUAGCGUAUAUUAAAGUUGUUGCGGUUAAAAAGCUCGUAGUUGGAUCUCAGUCCAAGUCAAGUGGUCCACUUGCUAGUGGCUACUACUUGGCUGGACAUUUUACUGAGCUGUCUUCCGAUGCUCUUAACCGAGUGUCGGGAGCAGGCAGUACGUUUACUUUGAAAAAAUUAGAGUGCUCAAAGCAGGCGCAAAGCCCGAAUAAUCUCGCAUGGAAUAAUUGAAUAGGAUCUCGGUUCUAUUUUGUUGGUCUUCGGAAUCAGAGAUAAUGAUUAAGAGGGACAGACGGGGGCAUUCGUAUUGCGGCGCUAGAGGUGAAAUUCUUGGACCGUCGCAAGACGAACUACAGCGAAAGCAUUUGCCAAGAAUGUUUUCAUUAAUCAAGAACGAAAGUUAGGGGAUCGAGGACGAUCAGAUACCGUCGUAGUCUUAACCAUAAACUAUGCCGACUAGGGAUCGGACGAUGUUAAUUUUUUAAUGACUCG
rnacentral:rRNA from 1 species